rnacentral:misc_RNA from 1 species
AAACUCUCAUCAAGUAAAAUUGAUGGACUUUGGGCUUGUUUUCUUCAUCGAAAUAGCCUUAAAAUGAUUAUUGUGUAGUUCCGACUCGUUCGGAUGACUAUCAAAGUGCAACAGAUUAACAUCCAACACUCUGGUAGGACUCUGGAUAGGACGAACAUUGCAUAAUUAAAACCAUUAAAGCAGUUCCCUCGGGGGCUGUAAA